GGAUGUGAGGACAAUCCAGCUGUGACAUCUGUCACCCCAGAGUUGAUUCGGUUGGCUGGGUGUGUGUCCCUUUCCUUCCUCACCACUCCCUGUUUGUCCCUCCCAAAGCUACAUGCUAGGACAAAGAGGGCGACCAUCCCCACUAGAGGAAGGCUGUUCUUCAGUCAAGGGCAUACUAGUAGCUAGAACCUCUAAACAAGCUCUCAAAAACUACAAAACAAAACGCUGGAUGUGGUGGCACAUACUUGUAGCCUCAACUAAUUGGGAGGCUGAGGCAG
rnacentral:snRNA from 1 species